GGGAGGCGGAGGGUGCAGUGAGCCGAGAUAGUGCCAGCUGAGGCAGGAGAAUUCCCUGGAGGUAGAGGUUACGGUGAGCCAAGAUGGCGCCACCACACUCCAGCCUGAGUGACAAAGCGAGACUCUGUCUCAAAAAAUAAAAAAUAAAGAAAAUUUUAAAUGAAGUGCCAGGGACUUUAUGCGCAUGUCAUGUGGAGCUAGAGGGUCCCGGGGAAGCUGUCUUGCACAAAGGAGCCAUAAACCUCUAAGGGCACCUGCCGGCUGAUGUCUCCUGGCUCUCGCCUCCUCCCUCUUUUCUCGACCUGCUCCUGACCCUGUGAUGUUGUUGGGGCAGUUGAACUGGGUUAUUUGCGUUGCUCACUGCCAUGUCAUCCUUUGUUUUGUAGAUGCCGUGGAAAGCAGAUACUCUAGAACGGAAGGCUCCCUUGAUGGAACUUAGACAGCAAGGCCAGAUGCACAUCCCUGGAAGGACAUCCAUGUUCCGAGAAGAACAGAUAAUCCCUGUAUUUCAAGACCUCUGUGCACUUAUUUAUGAACCUGCCCUGCUCCCACAGAACACAGCAAUUCCUCAGGCUAAGCUGCCGGUUCUUAAAUCCAUCCUGCUAAGUUAAUGUUGGGUAGAAAGAGAUACAGAGGGGCUGUUGAAUUUCCCACAUACCCUCCUUCCACCAAGUUGGAACAUCCUUGGAAAUUGGAAGAGCACAAGAGGAGAUCCAGGGCAAGGCCAUUGGGAUAUUCUGAAACUUGAAUAUUUUGUUUUGUGCAGAGAUAAAGACCUUUUCCAUGCACCCUCAUACACAGAAACCAAUUUUCUUUUUUAUACUCAAUCAUUUCUAGCGCAUGGCCUGGUUAGAGGCUGGUUUUUUCUCUUUUCCUUUGGUCCUUCAAAGGCUUGUAGUUUUGGCUAGUCCUUGUUCUUUGGAAAUACACAGUGCUGACCAGACAGCCUCCCCCUGUCCCCUCUAUGACCUCGCCCUCCACAAAUGGGAAAACCAGACUACUUGGGAGCACCGCCUGUGAAAUACCAACCUGAAGACACCGUUCAUUCAGGCAACGCACAAAACAGAAAAUGAAGGUGGAACAAGCACAGAUGUUCUUCAACUGUUUUUGUCUACACUCUUUCUCUUUUCCUCUACCAUGCUGAAGGCUGAAAGACAGGAAGAUGGUGCCAUCAGCAAAUAUUAUUCUUAAUUGAAAACUUGAAAUGUGUAUGUUUCUUACUAAUUUUUAAAAAUGUAUUCCUUGCCAGGGCAGGCAAGGUGGCUCACGCCUGUAAUCCCAGCACUUCAGGAGGCUGAGGUGGGCGGAUCACCUGAGGUCAGGAGUUUGAGACCAGCCUGAUGAAACCCUGUCUCUACUAAAAAUACAAGAAUUAGCCGGGCGUGGUGGCGCAUGCCUGUAGUAUCAGCUACUCAAGAGGCUGAGGUGAGAUUAUCGCUUGAACCCAGGAAACGGAGGUUGUAGUGAGCGGAGAUCGCGCCACUGCACUCCAGCCUGAGUGACAGAGUGAGAAUCCAUCUCAAAAAAAACAAAAAACAAAAUUGCUUGCUAAAGAAGUGGUCUCCUGAGGUCUUAAGACAUUCCUGACAGUGUCUUGAGUGGGUGGGAGAGAGGCUGCUGUCAUUGCGCUGUGGAAUUUCACAGAUGAGAACCACGCCUAGCCAAAAUCACUUUUCCUGUUUGCCUCAGUGACACAGCUGCAGGGACCCUCGUGGAUGUUGUAUUAAAUAAAUUUGACCUUUGCUCUUUGCAGAUCUGUGAAAUGUUGUCUUCUGAGGGGCCACAUGCAUCUAUAGUGCUGAGGACUCCUUGGGCCUCUGAAGUCACAGAGAGAACCGAGCAGGUCUAUGUUUUUGUUUUGUUGUUUUGAGACGGAGAUUCGCUCUUGUUGCCCGGGCUGGACUGCAGCGGCGCAACCUCUGCUCACUGCAACCUCCGCCUCCUGGGUUCAAGCAGUUCUCCUGUCUCAGCCUCCCGAGUAGCUGGGAUUACAGGCACAUGUCACCACGCCUGGCUAAUUUUUGUAUUUUUAGUAGAGAUGGGGUUUCACCACGUUGGCCAGGCUGAUCUCGAAUGCCUGACCUUUGGUGAUCUGCCCGCCUUGUCCUCAUGUGUGCUCCACAGGCCUUUGGGUUGGGAUUGCAGGCGUGAGCCACCAUGCCCAGCCUAGACUCUUUUGACAAUAUGAUGAAAGCUGUUGGUUCCUUUCCCCAACACACACACACCGAGUUGUAUCACGAAAAUGUCAUACAAUUUCCAGGUUUUCUGAGUGGUGGGCUCAGAUUGAGGUCAAAGGAUCAGACGACCUCUAACGACCUUCAUGUCUCUGUUGAUGAUCUGGGGACAGCCAGAUCCCCUGUGUCCAGGGAGUUCCUUAGUCCCUUGCCACCACCAGAGAAGGGCAAUUGCCACGGGAGCUGCAAAGACCCUAUUCCUACUCCUGGUGCCUUACUUAUGCAGCACGACUGAAUUUUUUGUUUUGUUUUGUUUUGUUGAGACAGGGGCUUGCUCUGUUGCCCAGGCUGGAGUGCAGUGGCACAACAAUGGCUCACCGCAGCCUCGAACCCCUGGGCUCAAGCGAUCCUCCCAUCUCAGCUUCCUGGGUAGCUGGGACCAGAGGCGUGAGCCGCCAUAGCUGGCUAAUUUUUAAUUUUUUUUUUGCAGAGAUGAGGUUUCACCAUGGUGCCCAGGCUGGUCUCGAACUUCUGGGCUCAAGUGAUCCUCCCUCCUUGGCCUCGCAAAGUGCUGGGAUUGCAGGCAUGAGCCACCGCCCCCGGCCUGUGGAGCACACAUGAGUUUAAAAUUACUUUCCCUUCUGCCUAUAUUUCCGAGGAGGAAACUUCAUGCGCAGGGAUCUUUCUUAGUGGAUUUAAUGGCUAAAAGGUCUGUCUGAAUCCAGGACGCUGGCUUUAGCCUUCCUCGGCAGCUGCCGUAACCCCGGUGUCUAAACCUGAAGCAUCCCAGGAGCACCCACUCCAGGAGUUUUCUCGGCCGCGGAACUCAUUAGUUAGAGCGCCCUCUUGUGUUCUCAUGUGGUAAUCGGUCACUGAAGGACUUAAAAUGGUCCUUAGCCAACACACAGUAAAACUUUUCCCUCUUCUGACCCCAAGAGGUCAGCCACCCAUUUCAUGAGCAUAUACUGGUCGCCCCAUCAGCGUUCUCUGAUUGGCUAACUGAACCCACUCCCCGACCUAGACUCAAGACAGGCGAAGUGACGCUUAGGUCAACAUUCACUCACUAAAGCAACGACUGUCGGGCGAUUUUGUCUCCCGCUGGUUUUGGAAUGGUGUCUGGAGACAUUUUUGGUUGUCACAGCUGGGUGGGUGUGCUCCCGGCAUCUGGUGGGUAGAAACCAAGCAUGCUCCUAAACAUCCUACAGGCACAGAACCGUCUCCCACGACCAAGCAUGAUCAAGUCCCAAAUGCCAAUAAUGGCCAGGUUGAGAAACUCUGCACAGAAGCAUCCAGUUAUUUGUCUGUUUGCUCAACAAGCUUGUGCUCAUCAUGCUCUGUGUUCCUGACGCUGUGCUGGGUGUUGGCGGUGGGAAGAUUACAAGAGUCACAUGGCAGCUGUCCUCCUGGAAGGUACAACCCAGUAGAGAUGCAGACUAACAGAGAGCCAAUUACAAAGCAGUGUGACAAGCGUCAUGGUGGAAAAUUAAAAGCUCAAACAAGGGCACAUGGGAGGGGCUUCCAACACAGACUUUGGGGGAUCCAGGAAGGUCUAAGAGGAAAGUGGGUCUCACCAAAGCCUUGACCAUAGAGGCCAGCUUCAGCCUUUGCCUAACACCGCAAGGGCAAAUGGAAAGGUAAACGGGAAGGAGAUGUCUCCCCAGCAGGCUAUUUGAGGACAGUCUUCCCUGCAGAAGAUCUCAACCUGGGGUCCACAGAGUGGAAAUGUUAGAGUAGGGAGCUAGGCAAACAUGAGCAGGACAGGUGAGGGCCCCCACAGGAAUGUCAGGCUACCAUCAGGUGAUGGUCAGGUGGUUGUUAAACUGUCUCUGUAAAAUAAUAAUUGGUUGCAGCCAGCUCCAAGCAAGGACAGUCUCUCAAUAGAUACAAAACACCCUGAUCUGGUGAUCAGCCGCUUCCCGAUAAGAUCUCAGGAGCUGGGCAAGCAGCCUGGAGCAUGCGCACCAAGAGGCAAAAUGGCGGAAUUUAACCAGUAUAUGACCUACCUUCCUCUGGGAACGCACGACUGGUAAGGGGAAAAAUGCCUCAAGUGAGCAUGCGCGCAACUUCAGUAAUCACACUGUGCAUGCGACCCCUUCCAAGUGCUGGCAGGUCACCACAUACGCGGACAGCCUGCUGCAAGGGAAGAAUCAGGGGAGAUGAGACGUAAAUCCCAGAACUAUGCCAAAUACAUAAAACCCCAAGUUAAGGGUCAGGCAGGGCACUUAGAUCUCUCAAGUUGCCUGCCUGACCCAAGUGUAGUGUACUUCCUUUUGUUCCUGCUCUAAAACUUUUUAAUAAACUCUCACUCCUGCUCUAAAACUUGCCUUGGUCUCUCCCUGUGCCUUAAAACCACUUAAAACCACCUCUGCCCCUCAGCUGAGUUCUGUCUUUGAGAAGGCAAGCAUCAAGUUUGCUGCAGACCCAUUGGAUUCACCACUGGUAACAGAAGUUGGGGUAAGGCGUGGGGCCUGAGAAUUCUCUAAGAGUAGGUGCAGCCGGGCGCGGUGGCUCACGCCUGUAACCCCAGCACUUUGAGAGGCUGAGGUGGGUGGAUCAGCUGAGGUCAGGAGUUCGAGACCAGCCUCAAUAUGGGGAAACCCCAUCUCUACUAAAAAUACAAAAUCAGCCGGGCGUAGUGGUGCA
rnacentral:lncRNA from 1 species